rnacentral:rRNA from 1 species
GACGAACGCUGGCGGCGUGCUUAACACAUGCAAGUCGAGCGGUAAGGCCCCUUCGGGGGUACACGAGCGGCGAACGGGUGAGUAACACGUGGGUGACCUGCCCUCAGCUCUGGGAUAAGCCUGGGAAACCGGGUCUAAUACUGGAUAUGACUCCAUGACGCAUGUUGUGGGGUGGAAAGCCUUGUGCGGCUGAGGAUGGGCCCGCGGCCUAUCAGCUUGUUGGUGGGGUGANGGCCUACCAAGGCGACGACGGGUAGCCGGCCUGAGAGGGCGACCGGCCACACUGGGACUGAGACACGGCCCAGACUCCUACAGGAGGCAGCAGUGGGGAUCUUGCGCAAUGGGCGAAAGCCUGACGCAGCGACGCCGCGUGAGGGAUGACGGCCUC